CGCACAAUCAACCUAUCCUCCUCACCUCCAGGUAGGGCACGAGCCGACAGGACAGGUCUCCCAGCAACCUCUUCAAUGUGAGCUCAUGGAAGACGACCACGGGAAGGCAGAAGAACAGCACGAGGAAAUCCCAGAAGGCGAGCCCCGCCAGGAUGCAGUUCCACGCGCUCUUCAGGUAGAAGUUGUGCCACACUAUGCACAUGAGCGCGAGGUUCCCAACGAUGCCAGCUGCGAACAGCACGAGGGCGAGCAGCAUGACUGCGUACGCCCAGUAGGAGCCGUCGGUGACCGGGAACAGCGGGUUGAGGAGCCCCGACCCGUGGCCUGACGAAGAGUUACCCGGCGGGGCGGAGGCGUCCCGGUGGCUCCGCGGUGUGGUGAAGUACCCGCUCGGGUCGUCGUGCCGCCGCGGAUGGCUGUAACUGCUCGCACAAAGGGACACUGAGGCUUCUCAUCAAAUGAACAGCGUGACGACACCUGCAGCAUUUCCAGGUUGGGUCCCCUGAAGUUGUGACGGACUGAUGCUGCGUACUGUCCAGAAGUUCAUUUGCAGCAUCGUUCCCAUGACUGACCACAAAAUAGAGUAUUUACUAAAAUAAAAAAUAAAUCUGAUGAACUUGAUCUUUCUCUUGAUGUUUGUCUUCAGCAGCCAUUUGGUUGCUGACUGUGAAAAGAAAAAUCAGUCUGGGGCACAAAAUGGCGCCAAGAGAGA